rnacentral:antisense_RNA from 1 species
CAGCUACUGCUCUCUUCACCUAAUAUCCUUGGUGAUGGGCUUGGCCUUUUGCAUACCCACCUAGGUACACAAGCUUUUUGUCCUCUCCGCCCACCAGCUCUGUUCCUGCUCCUGGCUGUCAUUUCUCACUUUGGGAAUGUUUCUGUCAAACUAUGUCCUACCUAUUUUUCAAAUUAUUUCUUAACUGAACAUUCUUUGGUUAAUUACUCUUGUGUUUAUCUACCACAGUAGUUCCCCAAACCCUCAGGAUGUUUACAUUGUGUGUGCGCUCUCAUGUUGUAUUUACUGUCCUGUUUCCCCUAUUACGUUUCAAGUCAAUCAACCAGGAAUUACUUAGUACUGACUGUGCAUAUUUUCUAUUGGUAGGGGAAGUAACAGAGAAACAGAAUACAUGUCCUUCACCUCAAGGGGCUCAAUGCAGUGUUGUGCAUUGGAAGCGGGGCAGGGAGGAUGUCAAUAAAAUAGUGAUUAAAAAGUGC